rnacentral:tRNA from 1 species
GCCUGAGUGGCUCAGUGGUUGAGCGUCUGCCUUUGGCCCAGGGCACGAUCCCGGGGUCUGGGAUCGAGUCCCACAUCAGGCU